AGAGAUUAAAUAUCCAGCACGCAACCGCACUGUUGCCAGAUUUACUUCUUUUCUUUUAGCGGGAAUUUUAAAAUAUCUAAUGUCAGUUGGUUUAAAAUUUGACAGUUGUAUUUUUUUGAUUCCGAAUCUUAACCUUACUUUACAGGUGAUUUGAUUAUGUACAAAAAAUGUACAGUGUAAAUAAAUUGAACCAAGUAAUGUACUAAAAUAUGCUAUGUUAUAAUUUAAAACUCGUUAUGUUAGUCUUUUGAAAAAAAUGAAACUCAAAAGAGAUAUACUUGUUUACAGUGCAAAUUAAUGGCAAUAAUAGGGAUUUACGAUUUAAUUUGCAGGAAAAACAUGGGCAACCUACCCAGUUAGUAAAAUUUCAAUUCAAAAACUCUUUAGAUUUUACUGUGCGGAUGUCACAGGAAGAGAAACAAAAUAAUAUUCAGUCACAGGAGUACAAGAACAUGAAACAUCUUAUUAUGUAUGUAUGCCAUUCUCAAACAAUUAUUGUACAAAACAAGAUAGAGAAGAGCUUUAAAAUCCCAAGGAUCCUGCGAAAAGAAAAGUGAAAAUGUUGUCUCAAUUAAUGUAGUAUAGAUGGACAUUUUUCUUUAUUUUAGUAUUAAAUAAUUAUUUAGAAUAUUAAUAGGUAUUAGUUUUAAUAGUAUUAAUAUGUAUUGUAUGAAUAAUUCCCAUCAUAUAUCUUCUGGCUAAAGUUACAAAAUAAAUAAAAAUGAAAAAACAUUUAA